GGAAUAAGCACCCCCUUUCCCUGCCCUUCAUAGCAGCUGGAAGGGGACAGUUCAACCCUCUCCAUCUAUUCUCUUGCAGACAGAUCCUCUGCUGCUGGUAGAGGAUGGGCAAGCAUGUCUCUGGAUCCCAGAGGAGGUCUCUCCCUAGCCUGACUGGCAUAGUCGAUCAGAGAUGCCCAGCACAGAUCCAGCCCUCUUCUGCCUUUGAAGUGCAGUCACCUUCCCAGCCUUGGAUGCUGCUUUUGCAACCUUGGGUGCAACCCUGGCUCUGUGGGGUGAGACAUGCAGGGCAAGAACAUCUUUGGGGUACCUGACGUGCUCAGCAUUCCUCCUCCUCUCCGGAACCUGGUGAUGAGCCAGCACAGCUAAUGGCUCGGAGGCUGGGCAGUGAGGCAUCAAGAGGUGUGCUAGCCCCGUACCAAGCAAUCCCAGGGAUGCUGGUGGGAUACUGGCAGCAGAACAUUGCUCCCUCCGGUGGUAAUGAGCAGGGACAGAGGAGGUGAUCUGUAUAGCAGCUGGUCAAAAAGCAGAUGCCAGUGCCAUGCAUUUCCUACAGCCAAAGGGCCUUUCAUGCCUGUGAAAGCAAAAGAGAUGCAACCUGCAUGGAAAGUGUCUGUCUGGGCACCAGCCAACCCGUCCUGGUGUCAGCCCUCCCUGUCUGGCGGGGAGCAGUGAGGAGGGCUCAGCCUACCUAUUCUGCCACUGGGAAACUGGGGUCAAGCUUUGGACUCUGGCCUUGAGUGGGUCUGAGCGUCCCCAUCCCCUCCCCACUUUCCUGGCCCAGAGAGGAUCCUACCUUAUCUGUUACACUUUGUUCUCCUGCUGUCUGGGUGUGGAGCAGGGCAGAGAUUAGUGUGUUCAGACCUUUGACACACACACACACACACACACAUGCACACACACACACAACCAGCCAUGCAUGCACCCGCAGCCACGCUCAUCUGCACACUGCUGCACGCACAGUCCCUACGCACGUCAUCCUGCUCACACUCAGCUGCACUUGUGGGCCCACACUGUGCCCCCUGCAGCACCCCCUCCGGGGCACAUACGCUUUUCCCCAUCCCUGUGAGUGU
rnacentral:lncRNA from 1 species